UUAUAAUUUUUUGUGCUUCAGUAAACUGAAGUUUAUUGACGUUAUAACCAAUUAUAAAGUUAAUCGCGCACUCGUAAGUGGGAUUGGAAAUUGGGCUCAUUGAAGAGCCUGAAAAUUAAUGGUCCGCUGGACUAACCGACUCGACAUCUCCGAAGAAAUGUCUUGAAGGUAUUUUGGGUGUGGUAAUGAUCCUUCCGCAGGUUCACCUACGGAAA
rnacentral:misc_RNA from 1 species